rnacentral:rRNA from 1 species
AACGCGAAGAACCUUACCUGGUCUUGACAUCCACGGAAGUUUUCAGAGAUGAGAAUGUGCCUUCGGGAACCGUGAGACAGGUGCUGCAUGGCUGUCGUCAGCUCGUGUUGUGAAAUGUUGGGUUAAGUCCCGCAACGAGCGCAACCCUUAUCCUUUGUUGCCAGCGGUCCGGCCGGGAACUCAAAGGAGACUGCCAGUGAUAAACUGGAGGAAGGUGGGGAUGACGUCAAGUCAUCAUGGCCCUUACGACCAGGGCUACACACGUGCUACAAUGGCGCAUACAAAGAGAAGCGACCUCGCGAGAGCAAGCGGACCUCAUAAAGUGCGUCGUAGUCCGGAUUGGAGUCUGCAACUCGACUCCAUGAAGUCGGAAUCGCUAGUA